CUCUCCUUUCAAGAUCAAAAUUUAUCCUGCUUUAUGAGUAAUUGUUGCGAGUUUGAAUAUUUAUGUUAUUAGGUUUAUAAGUAGUUCUCCAGCAACAUAUUUCUGCUCUUGAGUAGUAGAUGAAGUACCUGAUGCCAAAUUUUCUGACUUGAGUUGAAAAGUUUAAAUGAAUCCUAUUGCUUGUUAUUGUAAAAUACUCAAUCCUUGAAUUUGCACUGACUAUAUGAAUGAAAAUUAUUUGCAAAUUCUGUAAUUUUCAGAUUUGAGUAUGAACAUUUUUUAUUGUCUAAUGUACGAGGUUUAUUGCAUUGAGUUUUGCUUUCAUAGUGUGUAGUUUAGAGCUAGCAUCAAGUGCAAUAGUUCUAUGUAGUAUGUUCUAUAUAUGUAGGUGGACCUCAUAUAGAAAAUAUACAUUUAUAUUCCUUUUUUCUUUUGGUGCUGCUAGAGAUUUAGGUUCUUGACACAUGAUUUAGUAAAAGUAGAUUAUACUUUGUACUCCGUAUAUGUUUAGCCCUACACUUGGGUAAUUACUACUUAUCUUUAGAACUCCAGGAAUCCUAGUUGUAAAUGGUUCCCUUAGAAGCGUCAUUGGUGGGACUGCAAUCUACAAGAAACGUUUUGAAUCAUCAGCACUAAGACCCUUUGUUUGUUUAGCUGCCCGGGAGGGCCUUGUCUAUGAAACAGGAUAGAUUGCGGGUGAAAUGGGAUCGGGAAUGAGAGUACCUGACCUCUUGCCUAUUCAGCAGUAUUUUAUAUACCGCCGCACUCUUUAUAGUCGCGACUGUUGUCAUGGAAAAAAAAUCGAUUUUCUGUCAAAGUCUCGUCUCCUUUCCUCCCAAAUAGAAAGAUAUAUCGGGAACCAUCCCAAGAAUAAUUGAAGAGAGUUAUCUCCAGUCACCAACAUGAAGGAUUUUUUCUUUCUUGCAGGAAAGAAACCGGAUAAGUAUGUUACUAGCUAAGAGAGUUUAAGAUUAUGUGCUCCGGCCUAUUCUAGAUAUUCUGACUGUUUCAAUUUUGCUGGACUGUUGUGUUGGGCUAAGUGGGGAUCUGUUUACAGUCACCCACUCACCCCAUUAUAAUUUGAACUUGCUGUCAAAUUUUAUGUUUUAUUGGUUAGAAGUAUAUAGGUCCACCAGGUAUUGGGUUAUAGUCUAACUCAAAGUGUAAUCUAGUUAGUCAUAUGAAUUUACUUUCAUUGUGAAAGCGAAAAUUGGGUGCUUCUUGUGCUAGUUGAAGUUAUAUCAUGUUUGUUUAAUGAUUACAUUGGUUAAUUGUAAAUUGUUAUUCUAUGUUGUUGUCUCAUGGGGUUUGCUGACCAUUUCAGGCACAAUGAAAGCUUCACUAGUAUUUUCAGUUCUAAAACACGUAGUAUCAAGCAUCAGGUUGAUAUCUUUUCCCAGCUCCAAAACGCUAGCAUAGAUGGAUUGAUCAAUUCAGUGGUAGUUGAAUUUUGAGUGUCGUUAUUUCUCUCUUUACAUUUCACUUAAUUUGCCUAUACACCGUACCGUGGAAGAAGCUAUUACUUACAAUUUUUUUUAAGGCCCGUGAUGAAUUUGAAGAUUAUGGUGAUGGAAGAAAGGAAUCAAGCUAGGGAUGAUGCAUAGGUUCUUCAACUAUGAAGGCAAUGAGGCCCACAUUAUGAAUUUUGAACUUAUAGCCUUUUGAAUAACCUGUGUUUUGUAGAUUACAUUUUAGAAUAAUAGGUUGGAAUUAUAAAGAGAGGAUAGAUGUUUUAGUUUUAAGUUUGUGUUUAUGAGACGAUAUUAACUAAAUAGUUUGGAUAAUGUGUAAACUUUGUUGAUAUUUUUUGGACGUAUAUUGCAUACUAGUAUUAUCUUUCAUUGAUCGGCGUAUUGUCAUUUCAGGCGGUUUGAUUUUGAGUUUUAGAAUGUAUUCUCGCUUUGUGCUAAUUAAAGAAAAAACAAAUAAAUUUCUAUGUCGCUUUUCUUCGUA